GCCGCGCGGGCAGUUUGUAGCUCAUGGCGGGCGCUUGGUCUCCGGAUUGUUGCAAAAGAUGCUCCUCUACUAGGUGUGCGUGUGGCGACAAGGGCAAGAGGAGCGACUCCUCGCUGUUAGGCAGGCGGCUCUCAGAAGACUCGAGCCGCCACCAGCUGCUGCAGAAGUGGGCGAGCAUGUGGAGCUCCGUGAGCGGGGACGCGUCGGUGGCCUGCGCGGAGAGGACGGCGAGCGAGGAGGCUGCGGAGCCGGCGGAGGAGGAGGGGGACAGGCCGCUGGUGUUUCUGUGCUCCGGCUGCCGGCGGCCGCUGGGCGACUCGCUGAGCUGGGUGACGAGCCAGGAAGACACCAACUGCAUCCUGCUGCGCUGUGUUUCCUGUAAUGUUUCUGUGGAUAAGGAACAGAUACUAUCCAAACGUAAAGAUGAAAAUGGUUGCAUCCUGGAGACUUUGUACUGCGCAGGAUGUUCACUUAACCUUGGCUACGUAUACAGAUGCACACCCAAGAAUCUAGACUACAAGCGGGACUUGUUCUGCCUCAGUGUGGAAGCCAUUGAAAGAUGUAACCCUCAGGACUUCAAAGAUGGCUAGGAAACCUUAAAUAACAGAAAAAAGAACAAUUUAAGAAGAAAAGAAAGUGCCUACACUUUCAUUACUCAAGGUAUUUCGUCACUCUGGUUGAAUUUCUUAGAUUUUCUCUUUAAAAAAUUUAAAACAGUGUUCUUUUUAUUAUAAUUUUUCAUUUAAUCUUCGAUAACUGCAGUUUUGCCACCUUCUUUGAAAGUAGACAGAUCAAAGUUAUAAAAUCUGGAAACUUUUUACAGUCUUUAUGUAAGAGAAUAAUAUAGCAAGUACUGCUCGUUGAUGUAAAGCAUGUAGGCCUGCCUAGAGAGAGAUCAGAUCUGUUUUGGUUUUAAAUAGAAGACCCAAACCCAAACAACUGUUUCCUUAAUCUCCAUGAGAAUUUUACUAAGCUUUGUGUAAAUCACGUGGGGGAGAGUACAAGUAAAAACGACAUGAAAUCUUUAGUACGGUUGGUACAAAACUUGAAAUGUGAUGCAUAUCUGUAUAAAAGAAAAUAUGUGGAAGAUUUCUCCAUAGAGAAUUAUAGUAUUGGGGCUGUUUUUUCCUGAACAGUUGAAUUUAAGGUAAAGUUACCUCUUGGGGCAGAAUUUUAAUGACAAGGAACCUGGUUUGUUUUAGAAGUGGAUGCCCUCUGUAAUGUUUAUUUACAGUGUUAUAAAUUACUUAAUACCAUUUAAUAUCCCCCUCAUCUCAUUUUUCUUUUCUAAACAGGAUAUUAAUUGCCUUCUGCAAUUUUGCCUCCCAUGACGUUUUUCAGAAAUUUGCUCAGUUUAAUCUUGAGUUUCUAAGAGAAAACUGUUCUUCUUUGAUAAAAGAAGUGACAUACUGAAGUUGUUACAUGUAAUGAAAUACUUCUACUAAAGACAUGCAAAUCAAGUUUCGUUUUUUGAGAAAUACUAGCACCUUUUCCCCUACUGUUUAGAUUUAUUUGGUUACCAAAGCUGGGUCUGUUUUCCCUUCAUUACCAGGCCAAUUUUUCUGUUUUUUUUUUUUAUUUUCUAAACUAUGACAUCUCAUCACCCCAGAGAGUGGAGCAAAACGUAAGUUAUAGGGUAACUGUUGAAGUUCCCCAAAUUUAGGUAAUCUAGAGUUGACCCACAAAUUAUAUACUAAAAUUCAAAUUUGAAAAUGCACACAUUCCUGAGAAAUUAUAUUAAAAAAAUAUUGAAGAUGAUUGAACUUGGUGUACCUCAAAAAAAGAAUAAAUAAAUAAAAAAAAAAGAAAAAAAAUAUUGAUAUAAUAAAGCAGUGGCUUCUUCAGAAUCUUUGUAAACUUUAAAAUAGAAUUUUGAACUAUGAGUGGUAAUGUUUUGCCGCCCAGUUUACUAAAGAGCAAGUUUAUUCCCAGUAAUGAAAUACUUAUAAUAUUGGGAAAUGUGGAGGGCUCUUCGGACAAAGCUGUUAUGGAGAAAAACAUGAUUUCAUGUAGUUUAGCCUCCUAUGUAGGUUGCUAUUGACAAAAAUAGUUGUUUUAUGUUUUUACUUGGUACUAAUAUAUAGUUUAAUAUACUUUGAGUUUUAAUAUUUUAAUUUUUUGUUGCGUUUGUUUAUUUUUGGCCAUGCCUCGCGGGAUGUGAGAUCUUAGUUCCCUGACCAAGGAUUGAACCUCUGCCCCCUACAGUGGCCGCUGAGAGUCCUAACCACUGGACAGCCAGGGAAUUCCCUUAAUAUUGUUAAUAUAAAUUUUAUAUUUACUCCCUUUUCAUGUUUUAACUUUAUACUGUUAUUAUACUUCAGUUAUGUUUUAGGGUCCUCUGAAAAGCAAAUUGUGUCAGAAGAUAAAGAGCUUUUUAAUCUUGAAAGCCGAGUUGAAAUAGAAAAAUCGCUAAAGCAGAUGGAAGAUGUUUUGAAAGCAUUGCAAACAAAGCUUUGGGAGGUUGAAU